rnacentral:lncRNA from 1 species
GCAUGUGGGAUGGGGUGUGAGUGCUCAGGGUCAGCCCCGCAGAGCCCCGAACGAAUAGCCCGAUCUUUCUGGAGCGUUUCCUGAUGGGGUUUGCGAGGAACGUCUGCUGGGAGGUUAUUCUGAGAGCUGAUUGACAUAUGCAUGGGCAGAUGUUUUAUAAACUGCAUUCUCUACAAACUGAAGGGGCAAAUGUGAUGGAUUCCAAGGCUCCACAAGACAUUAUCAUGGUCAAUGUCCAGCAGACCAGAUAUGGGGUGAUCAAUUGUUUGAAGGUAAAAGUUGUCAAGAAUAACUUUAGACUUUGCUGGGAAUGCAAUAUCUUCUGACAAGGAGGAGUUGGCUGGAACAGCCUGGGCUCUGUACCUGUCCCUCAGAUGUCCUUUGGUGCUUUAGCCCAGUGACUCAUCGAUCUCCCAGAUUGAAGUUUGCUGGGAGAUUCCAACUGACCUGGAAGUUGCUGGAUUGAUGGGAAGAGAUCCUUCUAAUCUUAGAAGAAUUCUUGGAAUGGCUCAGAAAUAGAAACUCAAGAAGCAGAGGGAUUUAAUUACACAGGA